rnacentral:rRNA from 1 species
AGUUUGAUCCUGGCUCAGAACGAACGCUGGCGGCAGGCCUAACACAUGCAAGUCGAACGCCCUAGCAAUAGGGAGUGGCAGACGGGUGAGUAACACGUGGGAACAUGCCCUUCGGUACGGAACAACUCAGGGAAACUUGAGCUAAUACCGUAUACGUCCGUAAGGAGAAAGAUUUAUCGCCGAAGGAUUGGCCCGCGUCUGAUUAGCUUGUUGGUGAGGUAAUGGCUCACCAAGGCGACGAUCAGUAGCUGGUCUGAGAGGAUGAUCAGCCACAUUGGGACUGAGACACGGCCCAAACUCCUACGGGAGGCAGCAGUGGGGAAUAUUGGACAAUGGGCGAAAGCCUGAUCCAGCCAUGCCGCGUGAGUGAUGAAGGCCUUAGGGUUGUAAAGCUCUUUUACCUGGGAAGAUAAUGACGGUACCAGGAGAAUAAGCCCCGGCUAACUUCGUGCCAGCAGCCGCGGUAAUACGAAGGGGGCUAGCGUUGUUCGGAAUCACUGGGCGUAAAGCGCACGUAGGCGGGUUCUUAAGUCAGGGGUGAAAUCCCGAGGCUCAACCUCGGAACUGCCUUUGAUACUGGGAAUCUUGAGUUCGGGAGAGGUGAGUGGAAUUGCGAGUGUAGAGGUGAAAUUCGUAGAUAUUCGCAAGAACACCAGUGGCGAAGGCGGCUCACUGGCCCGAUACUGACGCUGAGGUGCGAAAGCGUGGGGAGCAAACAGGAUUAGAUACCCUGGUAGUCCACGCCGUAAACGAUGGAUGCUAGCCGUUAGGCAGCUUGCUGUUUAGUGGCGCAGCUAACGCUUUAAGCAUCCCGCCUGGGGAGUACGGUCGCAAGAUUAAAACUCAAAGGAAUUGACGG